rnacentral:rRNA from 1 species
GACGAACGCUGGCGGCGUGCCUAAUACAUGCAAGUCGAGCGAAGUUUUUCUGGUGCUUGCACUAGAAAAACUUAGCGGCGAACGGGUGAGUAACACGUAAAGAACCUGCCUCAUAGACUGGGACAACUAUUGGAAACGAUAGCUAAUACCGGAUAACAGUAUUUCUCGCAUGAGAGAUAUUUAAAAGUUGGUUAUGCUAACACUAUGAGAUGGCUUUGCGGUGCAUUAGCUAGUUGGUGGGGUAAAGGCCCACCAAGGCGACGAUGCAUAGCCGACCUGAGAGGGUGAUCGGCCACACUGGGACUGAGACACGGCCCAGACUCCUACGGGAGGCAGCAGUAGGGAAUCUUCCGCAACGGGCGAAAGCCUGACGGAGCAACGCCGCGUGAGCGAAGAAGGAUUUCGGUUCGUAAAGCUCUGUUGUUAGGGAAGAAUGGAUAUGUAGUAACUAUACAUGUAAGAGACGGUACCUAACCAGAAAGCCACGGCUAACUACGUG